rnacentral:rRNA from 1 species
UACGGAGGGGGCAAGCGUUGUUCGGAAUUACUGGGCGUAAAGGGCGCGUAGGCGGCCAUCUAAGUCAGACGUGAAAUCCCCCGGCUUAACCUGGGAACUGCGUCUGAUACUGGACGGCUUGAGUAUGGGAGAGGGAUGUAGAAUUCCAGGUGUAGCGGUGAAAUGCGCAGAUAUCAGGAGGAACACCGGUGGCGAAGGCGGAUCUCUGGGCCAUUACUGACGCUGAGGAGCGAAAGCGUGGGGAGCGAACAGG